GCUGAAACGAAGAACGACAUCAUCAGUCAUCACCAUUGUCAAACAGAGAAAUUUUGUAGACCUAAUUUGAUUGUUGAGUAUGAAAUUUUCACAAACCAGAGAGAUGUGUAAUGGCAUUGGAGAUAGCAAGAGCAGUACAAACGCCAUUUCCUCUUCCAGACAUAUCUUCUCCGAGCAACAGCUUAGAAAAUCUAUCUUUCAUCAACUGAAUCUCUGCAGAUUACAUCAUAAUUCACGAAUUAGAAACGGAAAAAGCUGCAAUUCCACAGUAAUUCAACUUUCCCGUCUUUGAAUCAUCAUCAAAGUACUCCCUCUUUGCUUUUGAGAGCACAGCAACUUUUGAUCUUCAUAAACUCGAAAUUGUUAACAUUUCCAAACAGACAUUACCAGUUAGGUUUUCGCUCCCAGCUUUCCCCAAGUAGUUCCCCCCAGCGACCGGCGGCUUGGUCGGAGAAAUGGCCGGAAGGUACGAAGCAGACUGAGGUCCUACCACCGGUGGGGUACUGCGAGAAGUGGAAGCGACCGGAGAAUCAAAAGAAGAAGCCCCACAACUCUCCGUUUCACUAACGUCGGCACUAAGACUAUAAUCGUCAAACCUCUGGUUCCGGUGAUCGGAUUCAUCGCCGGAUGAUAAAACUUCCAUCGAUGGAAUUGAAGCAAUGAUUUGUUAAUUGGAAUGUGGUGUAUUUGGAGUAGUGAAUUGUUGUUUGUAUGAUUGGGGGUGUGAUCGGAGGUGAGAAAAGGAGAGGAAGAAAAAGCGUUAAAGCAAAGGUGGGGAUGUUCUUUACAGUUAAGUGUGUAUCGUAACGUCAACAUGGUGUUGGGAGAUGGAGGGAGGGAGUGGCCCCAUCAUGCCGGGGACAUAAAUAUUUGCUUUACGACGGUGGUACACCUUCGGUUAUCAUUAUUAUCGAUAUAUUACUUUUUUCCAUUUUUGUUAAUAUAAAUCAUUAAUAAUAAUAAAUUAAGUCUAAAAUAAAAUUUUCAUUAAAGUAUUAUUUUUUGUCUUUAAGUUAAACUCAAAAACGUUAUUGUAAAUAGUUAAUGCCAAAUCAUACAAAAACAUUUAAAUUUUA